GGCCAACACACCAAACUGGACCAAUAGCACAAAUAUUGAUCGAAAGCGUGAACCAUGCCAUCAGCCUCGACCUACAAGCAUUCCGACUGGGAAGCGUCCUAGCUCGCAAGAACGUCACCAAGUUACUCUUCACCAUAUCCUGUGCUCUCAAACCUGGUCAAUGAAAUAACCAGUGGCAAGCCAAUGAGUACUUUUGAUUGUACUCGCAAACAGCCCAUGAUAUGAACAAUGCAAGUGAAGGAUAACAAAAAUAUGUAUCUUUGGUGGACAACAACUUGGUUGUAAUAAACAUGAUCAUGGGUUUGCAACAUAAGUUAAAUGUUACUUGAAGAACAGGUUACAAAUACCAAUAUAUCUGUCGAGGGGUGAACACUCCGGGUUCACCCAAUAUGCCAAGUCACCAAACUUGGUCAUAUCAACUAUUUAUUAAUAACACCAUACUCACACAGACUUGGUUUAUGUGGAAACGACUGGGUGUAGUUUAAGCAACACCAGCCAACUGUCUUUGACCGUGGACACGGCUAGUCGAAUAGUUUUACACUCUGCAAAGGUAGUACACUAGACCCAUGAGAUCCGGGAAACUUCCGUGUCAUCCACGACUCACGGUAUAUAACAUACCCGAGGUAAAUAACAGAUCAAUGCCUUUCCCCUGACGAUACUAGAAAAAGAGGUCCACUCGAUUGGUACCCAAGCCACAUGUUGUACAUCUUACGAGCACCGACUCUGGACAGUAUCAACCAUGCGGGGACCAACAGUGUGUGUGGAUCACGUAAAAUAGGCAUAUUCUCCCUACCUUGCACGACCCCAUCACGAGAGUGACCGCACAUCACUCCCGCCACUAGUAAUGUGGCUCUUUGCUAGCACCGAUCAGAGUAAUCAACAAAUCCC
rnacentral:lncRNA from 1 species